rnacentral:rRNA from 1 species
UGGGGAAUUUUGGACAAUGGGCGAAAGCCUGAUCCAGCCAUGCCGCGUGAGUGAAGAAGGCCUUCGGGUUGUAAAGCUCUUUCAGGUGGAAAGAAAACGCAUAGGUUAAUACCUUGUGCGGAUGACGGUACCAUCAGAAGAAGCACCGGCUAACUACGUGCCAGCAGCCGCGGUAAUACGUAGGGUGCGAGCGUUAAUCGGAAUUACUGGGCGUAAAGCGUGCGCAGGCGGUUUAGUAAGACAGGCGUGAAAUCCCCGGGCUCAACCUGGGAACUGCGCUUGUGACUGCUAAGCUAGAGUACGGCAGAGGGGGGUGGAAUUCCACGUGUAGCAGUGAAAUGCGUAGAUAUGCGGAGGAACACCGAUGGCGAAGGCAAUCCCCUGGACCUGUACUGACGCUCAUGCACGAAAGCGCGGGGAGCAAACA